GACGUAGGGCGCGAGCGUUGUCCGGAUUUAUUGGGCGUAAAGAGCUCGUAGGCGGCUCGUUGCGUCGGCUGUGAAAACCCGCGGCUCAACUGCGGGCCUGCAGCCGAUACGGGCAGGCUAGAGUUCGGUAGGGGAGACUGGAAUUCCUGGUGUAGCGGUGAAAUGCGCAGAUAUCAGGAGGAACACCGGUGGCGAGGGCGGGUCUCUGGGCCGAUACUGACGCUGAGGAGCGAAAGCGUGGGGAGCGAACAGG
rnacentral:rRNA from 1 species